UGGGGAAUCUUGCGCAAUGGCCGAGAGGCUGACGCAGCGACGCCGCGUGUGGGAGGACGCCUUUCGGGGUGUAAACCACUGUUGCCCGGGACGAACAUCUGGUUUCGACCAGACUGACGGUACCGGGUGAGGAAGCACCGGCUAACUCCGUGCCAGCAGCCGCGGUAAUACGGAGGGUGCGAGCGUUGUCCGGAAUCAUUGGGCGUAAAGGGCGCGUAGGUGGCUUCUCAAGCGUGCGGUGAAAGCCUGGGGCUCAACCCCGGGUCGGCCGUGCGAACUGGGGGGCUUGAGCACUGUAGAGGCAGGCGGAAUUCCGGGUGUAGCGGUGGAAUGCGUAGAGAUCCGGAAGAACACCGGUGGCGAAGGCGGCCUGCUGGGCAGUUUUGCUGACACUGAGGCGCGACAGCGUGGGGAGCAAACA
rnacentral:rRNA from 1 species